GUCGAACGGCAGCACGGGUGCUUGCACCUGGUGGCGAGUGGCGAACGGGUGAGUAAUACAUCGGAACAUGUCCUGUAGUGGGGGAUAGCCCGGCGAAAGCCGGAUUAAUACCGCAUACGAUCUACGGAUGAAAGCGGGGGACCUUCGGGCCUCGCGCUAUAGGGUUGGCCGAUGGCUGAUUAGCUAGUUGGUGGGGUAAAGGCCUACCAAGGCGACGAUCAGUAGCUGGUCUGAGAGGACGACCAGCCACACUGGGACUGAGACACGGCCCAGACUCCUACGGGAGGCAGCAGUGGGGAAUUUUGGACAAUGGGCGAAAGCCUGAUCCAGCAAUGCCGCGUGUGUGAAGAAGGCCUUCGGGUUGUAAAGCACUUUUGUCCGGAAAGAAAUCCUUGGUUCUAAUAUAGCCGGGGGAUGACGGUACCGGAAGAAUAAGCACCGGCUAACUACGUGCCAGCAGCCGCGGUAAUACGUAGGGUGCGAGCGUUAAUCGGAAUUACUGGGCGUAAAGCGUGCGCAGGCGGUUUGCUAAGACCGAUGUGAAAUCCCCGGGCUCAACCUGGGAACUGCAUUGGUGACUGGCAGGCUAGAGUAUGGCAGAGGGGGGUAGAAUUCCACGUGUAGCAGUGAAAUGCGUAGAGAUGUGGAGGAAUACCGAUGGCGAAGGCAGCCCCCUGGGCCAAUACUGACGCUCAUGCACGAAAGCGUGGGGAGCAAACAGG
rnacentral:rRNA from 1 species